rnacentral:rRNA from 1 species
UACGAAGGGGCUAGCGUUGCUCGGAAUCACUGGGCGUAAAGGGCGCGUAGGCGGAUCUUUAAGUCGGGGGUGAAAGCCCAGGGCUCAACCCUGGAAUUGCCUUCGAUACUGAAGAUCUCGAGACCGGAAGAGGUAAGUGGAACUGCGAGUGUAGAGGUGAAAUUCGUAGAUAUUCGCAAGAACACCAGUGGCGAAAGGCGGCUUACUGGUCCGGUUCUGACUGCUG